rnacentral:misc_RNA from 1 species
GAAAUGCGAUACGCAAUGCGAAUUGCAGAAUUCCGCGAGUCAUCAGAUCUUUGAACGCAACUGGCGCUGGCAGGAUAUCCUUCUAGCAUGCUUGUUUCAGUGUCUUGAAACCUCACAUAUCUUAAUGUGAUUGAAGUGUAUUGUAUAUUUACUAUACACUGUAUUUCUCUCAUGAAAUAUGAAAGUGUGGGUCUUUCGAUCCAGCGAAGUAGUCACAUUCUAAAUGUGAUUUCGUUGGUAAUCUGAAUUAUCCGUAAACACUUUUUACAUAAUAACAAAACAAUCUUCAAUAUGCAUCUGAAAUCAAGCAAGAUCACCCGCUGAACUUAA